rnacentral:rRNA from 1 species
GGCAAUAUUCCUGUACCGAUUACAAGUGCGAUGUGGGGACGGAUCUUAAUAGGUUAUCCGGCAGUUGGAUGUGCCGGUUUAGACAGAAGUAGGCGACACGUAGGCAAAUCCGCGUGUCAUAUACCGAGGCUGUUGAUCGAGCGAGCUUGCUCGCGAAGUAACUGAACGAGGUCCCAGGAAAAGCCACUAAGCUUCAGCUUGUAAUUGACCGUACCGCAAACCGACACUGGUGCGCGAGAUGAGUAUUCUAAGGCGCUUGAGAGAACUCAGGAGAAGGAACUCGGCAAAUUGACACCGUAACUUCGGAAGAAGGUGUGCCCUAGUAAUGUGAUGAGAACAUCUGAGCAUGAAUGGGUUGCAAAAAAUUGGUGGCUGCGACUGUUUACUAAAAACACAGCACUCUGCAAACACGAAAGUGGACGUAUAGGGUGUGACGCCUGCCCGGUGCUGGAAGAUUAAUUGAUGGGGUGCGAGCUCUUGAUCGAAGUCCCAGUAAACGGCGGCCGUAACGAUAACGGUCCUAAGGUAGCGAAAUUCCUUGUCGGGUAAGUUCCGACCUGCACGAAUGGCGUAACGAUGGCCACACUGUCUCCUCCUGAGACUCAGCGAAGUUGAAAUGUUUGUGAUGAUGCAAUCUCCCCGCGGAAAGACGGAAAGACCCCAUGAACCUUUACUGUAGCUUUGUAUUGGACUUUGAACAGAUCUGUGUAGGAUAGGUGGGAGGCUUUGAAGCAGGGUCGCUAGAUCUUGUGGAGCCAACGUUGAAAUACCACCCUGGUGUGUUUGAGGUUCUAACCUAGGUCCAUUAUCUGGAUCGGGGACAGUGCAUGGUAGGCAGUUUGACUGGGGCGGUCUCCUCCCAAAGUGUAACGGAGGAGUUCGAAGGUACGCUAGGUACGGUCGGACAUCGUGCUAAUAGUGCAAUGGCAUAAGCGUGCUUAACUGCGGGACUGACAAGUCGAGCAGAUGCGAAAGCAGGACAUAGUGAUCCGGUGGUUCCGUAUGGAAGGGCCAUCGCUCAACGGAUAAAAGGUACUCUGGGGAUAACAGGCUGAUACCGCCCAAGAGUUCAUAUCGACGGCGGUGUUUGGCACCUCGAUGUCGGCUCAUCUCAUCCUGAGGCUGUAGCCGGUCCCUAGGGUAUGCCUGUUCGCCAUUUAAAGAGGUACGUGAGCUGGGUUUAAAACGUCGUGAGACAGUUUGGUCCCUAUCUUCCGUGGGCGCUGCAGAUUUGAGGAAGCCUGCUCCUAGUACGAGAGGACCGGAGUGGACGCACCUCUGGUGUACCGGUUGUCACGCCAGUGGCAUUGCCGGGUAGCUGAGUGCGGAGAGAUAACCGCUGAAAGCAUCUAAGCGGGAAACUCGUUCCAAGAUGAGAUCUGCCGGGGCCUUGAGCCCCCUAAAGAGUCGUUCAAGACCAGGACGUUGAUAGGUCAGGUGUGGAAGCGCAGCAAUGCGUUAAGCUAACUGAUACUAAUUGCUCGUGCGGCUUGAAC